UACGUAGGGGGCAAGCGUUGUCCGGAAUCAUUGGGCGUAAAGAGCGUGUAGGCGGUUCGGUAAGUCGGCUGUGAAAGUCCAGGGCUCAACCCUGGGAUGCCGGUCGAUACUGCCGGACUAGAGUCCGGAAGAGGAAAGUGGAAUUCCUGGUGUAGCGGUGAAAUGCGCAGAUAUCAGGAAGAACACCAAUGGCGAAAGCAGCUUUCUGGGACGGUACUGACGCUGAGACGCGAAAGCGUGGGGAGCGAACAGG
rnacentral:rRNA from 1 species